CUUGCUAAGUCGAUGGCGACCGGCGCACGGGUGAGUAACACGUAUCCAACCUGCCGAUAACUCGGGGAUAGCCUUUCGAAAGAAAGAUUAAUAUCCGAUAGUAUACUAAAACCGCAUGGUUUUACUAUUAAAGAAUUUCGGUUAUCGAUGAGGAUGCGUUCCAUUAGUUUGUUGGCGGGGUAACGGCCCACCAAGACUACGAUGGAUAGGGGUUCUGAGAGGAAGGUCCCCCACAUUGGAACUGAGACACGGUCCAA
rnacentral:rRNA from 1 species